rnacentral:rRNA from 1 species
GUGCCAGCCGCCGCGGUAAGACGAACUGUGCGAACGUUGUUCGGAAUCACUGGGCUUAAAGGGUGCGUAGGCGGCCCGUUAAGUCGGGGGUGAAAUACUUCGGCUCAACCGGAGAAUUGCCUUCGAUACUGGCGGGCUAGAGGAAGGUAGGGGUCGCGGGAACUGCCAGUGGAGCGGUGAAAUGCGUUGAUAUUGGCAGGAACGCCGGUGGUGAAGACGCGCGGCUGGACCUUUUCUGACGCUGAUGCACGAAAGCCAGGGGAGCAAACGGGAUUAGAUACCCCGGUAGUCCUGGCCCUAAACGAUGGGUACUAGGUAGUGGGUUCGACACGGACUCGCUGCCGAAGCAAAAGUGUUAAGUACCCCGCCUGGGGAGUAUGGUCGCAAGGCUGAA